UGGAGACCCCAAUUCCCCUGAUGUGACUCCCACGUGUCACACGCCUGUAUCAAAGUACGUCAUGCACUCCAUAAGUAUAUACACCUACUAUGUGCCCACAAAAAUUAAAAAUUAGAAAAAGAAAAGAGUUUAAAAUAGAAACAAUUUUAAGUCUAUAAAUCAGUUUUUCAGCAGUCUAUUAAAGGAAUAACAGGCCGGGUGUGAUGGCUCACACCUGUAAUCUCAGCACUUCGGGAGGCUGAGGCGGGUGGAUCACCUGAGGUCAGGAGUUUGAGACCAGCCUGACCAACAUAAGAAACCCUGUCUCCACUAAAAAAAAUACAAAAUUACCCAGGCAUGGUGGCAGGCGCCUGUAAUCCCAGCUACUCGGGAGGCUGAGGCAGGAGAAUCACUUGAACUCGGGAGGCGGAGGCUGCGGUGAGCUGAGAUCGUGCCACUGGGCAACAAGAACAAAAUUCCAAUCUCAGAAGAAAAAAAAAAGGAAUAACACAUUAUGAUCGAGUAAGGUUUAUCCCAAGAAUUUGAAGAUGACUCAACAUCAGCAAGUCUAUUAAUGUAUUUCCCUUUAUUAACAUAUUAAAGAAGAGAAAACAAUAUCAUCUCAAUUAAUGAAAAAAAAAUCCAUCUCAAAAUUGAGUACUCAUCCUGAUGAGAAGAAAAACUUUUAACAAGAAAAAAAGAUACUUCCUGAAGUUGAUAAAGCUUGUCUACCAGAAACCUACAGAGUAAAUCUCACAGUUGAUGAUUAAAAAAAAAAAAACUCAUUUGUGGCAGUUACCAAUUUACUGCCUGUCAGCUCCAAAUCCACCUCUUUGCUUUGUGAAAGUGGAUGCUUGCUGUGAACGUUUUUCUUGCCAGCUGACAAAAUGCUAAGCUGUGUCAGUAGAGGGCGCUGGAGGCACACGACAGGAGGGCGUCUCACUGUCCGGUCACCAGAGUGCGGCUGCCAGCGGUAUGUGGGUGGGACACCCGGCCGCACUUGUCCACCCACACGUUUUACUGAGACCGCGCAGGAGGAUUCCUGCUGGCCAAACACGUUAUGACCUAGUAGGGUUUAUCCCAGGAAUUUAAAGAUGACUCAAAUCAGCAACUCUCUCAAUGUAUUCUACUUUAUUAACAUAUUAAAGGAGAAAAAAUAACUCAAUGGACAAAAAAACUGUUUUUCUUUUUUUUUUUUCCCUAAUUGAGUACGCAUCCAGAUUAGGAAAACAAAACAAAACAACAAAAAAAACUUUUAGUAAGGUAUCUGUCACCUAACCACCAUUAAUCUCCCAUUUUGACUAGUGGCCACGCUGUCACUUUGGGUCCCCGUGCAUGAACAUCAAUUCAGAGCCAAUGCUUCAGUCAUCUCAGAAGGCCUGGGUAGUUUGCUUUCCCCAGUGCACAGUCACUCUGUAAAUAGCACAGGUCUUCUGAGUAGGGCCUAGAGGGAGACUUACAGUAGGUACUUGCAGCAGGGCUGCAGAGUUCAUUCUUUGGGGGAAAUCCCCCCACACCCUCACACCCCAGUUCAUAAAGGGGCCCUGGGGCUGUGAACUGACUCAGUCCUAAGAGCUAGGGGAGAGGCCGUGACUCUCUGCUGUGGUGAUUCAAAUCAGGUUUCUGGCUACCAGACCCAGAAUUUUUUUCUGUUAUACUUGAGUAGGCAGCCCAACAAUUUUGUUCCUAGAGAUACCAUCAUUCAUUAGCCAUUGCCAAGAAUCCCAGUGGCCAAAGGCAUUCUGAUUACAUCUCUGCCGCCCUUCGUGGUAAAUGUGCCCACCUUAUCUCUGACAAUUAAGUGCUCCCAAUUAUCCGGAGGCACUUCAGGAUCCCAUCACCCCACUGAUACCAGGAAGCUCAUCUCAAUGACAACAUCCUUAGGGUCACACCUGCCUAUGUAGGAAAGCAAGCACAGAGCUUUUAGAGAGGCAGAUGCUCCCCUCACUAUUCUAUUUCUCAAUGUCUUAGUAAAGAAGUGUCUUCUGGGCCUUCUCAUGGUUAGGAAUGGGUGCUUGGUGGUAGACGUGUAAGUCACACAUGAUAAAUCCACUGUGACAUUCCUGUCUCCCUACAUCUUUGGAUUCUCUCCCCCAAAUCAUAGCAGGGAAGCUCUGACAUCUCCACCUCAUCAAAUGUAGGCAAAUGUUGAGUCACCUCCUGCUGCUCAAGCUAAACCAUGAAAUCCAGACUCUCUGGUAAGUGCAUCUAUAUCAAUGAAUUAAACAAAUGGAGUGUGAUAGCCUACCCUGUUGGAUCUAACACUCUUAGAAUCAACUCGACAUGUUUCCCAGGUUUCUUCCAAUAUUUAUUAGCAAAAUCUUACCAUUCUUUUGGUGUGUAAGUGAUUUCCUUCUGAGUUAGUUAUCUGAGUUUUAUGUCCCACUGUAACAUGCUAAGAUUUGACCCUAGUUAUGGAUCCAGUGACAACAGGGGUGACUGUACCAGGUCUGAAGAGUGAGCCGUUUCCAAGGCAUCCUCCCAGAUGAAGUUAUCACAGGGGUGACUGUACCAGGUCUGAAGAGCAACCCUUUCCAAGGCAUCCUCCCAGAUGAAGUUAUCACAGGGGUGACUGUACCAGGUCUGAAGAGCAACCCUUUCCAAGGCACCCUCCCAGAUGAAGUUAUCACAGGGGUGACUGUACCACGUCUGAAGAGUGACCCCUUUCCCAGGCAUCCUCCCAGAUGAAGUUAUCACAGGGGUGACUGUACCAGGUCUGAAGAGCAACCCUUUCCCAGGCAUCCUCCCAGAUGAAGUUAUCACAGGGGUGGUGACUGUACCAGGUGUGAAGAGCGAGCAACCCUUUCCAAGGCAUCCUCCCAGAUGAAGUUAUCACAGGGGUGACUGUACCAGGUCUGAACAGUGAGCCCUUUCCAAGGCAUCCUCCCAGAUGAAGUUAUCACAGGGGUGACUGUACCAGGUCUGAAGAGCGAUCCCUUUCCAAGGCACCCUCCCAGAUGAAGUUAUCACAGGGGUGGUGACUGUACCAGGUCUGAAGAGCAACCCUUUCCAAGGCACCCUCCCAGAUGAAGUUAUCACAGGGGUGGUGACUGUACCAGGUCUGAAGAGCGAGCAACCCUUUCCCAGGCAUCCUCCCAGAUGAAGUCAUCACAGGGGUGGUGACUGUACCAGGUCUGAAGAGUGACCCCUUUCCCAGGCAUCCUCCCAGAUGAAGUUAUCACAGGGGUGACUGUACCAGGUCUGAAGAGCAAGCAACCCUUUCCAAGGCACCCUCCCAGAUGAAGUUAUCACAGGGGUGACUGUACCAGGUCUGAAGAGCGAGCAACCCUUUCCAAGGCAUCCUCCCAGAUGAAGUUAUCACAGGAUCUUCAGGCAAAGGAAGUGCGGUGUCCUCAGACACAGGAGGGCAGGGUACUUCCGCUGCCAAGGGAGCUUUAAAGUGAUUUGCCAGUUUCAUCCGAAUCUGAGCAGGUGUUCUCAUUCCAAGUUUCAGGGUCCUGUUCUUUCCCUGUGAGUGCUCUAACUUGCAUAUCAGUAACUUGGCAUGACUAUGACAAACUCAUGUGUAAUCCUGACUAAAACACCAGAACAGUGGUGUUGUAUUAACAACCAAUAAUAGAAAAAGGAUUCCCCAUUGUCACUACUACAACCAACAAGUACACUGGACUUUCUAGCUAGACAACAAGCCAUGAAAUGAAAACAGACAUAUAAAUAAUAAAAAGGAUAAUAUAAAAUUGUUAUUUGCAUGCAGUAAGAUUUUCCACCUAGGAAAUCCAAAUGAAUCCACUGAAAAACCAUUAGAGGGUUUAACAAAUCCACAGCAAUACACAAAAGAAAUACCUUUCCACAUACCAUACACUUAGAGACAGAACCAAGAAGGUUUCGCAAUGUUAUCACAGAAAAACCUGGAAACAACCUAAAUCUACUGACAGAAUGGUUCACUAAAUUUCAGUAUAUUCUGAGUGUGAGAUAUAUUCUAUCAAUCAGCUGUACUGCUACAGAAAACAUUAAAAACAAAGUAAAUGUAAGAAGAAAACAACAGGCUCUGGAACACUAUAUAUAGCAUGAUCCAAUUUACUUAAGAAACAAAUACUAGGCCGGGUGCAGUGGCUCAUGCCUGUAAUCCCAGCACUUUGGGAGGCUGAGGCCAGCAGAUCACUUGAGGGCAGGAGUUCAAGACCAGCCUGACCAACAUGGUGAAACCCCAUCUCUACCAAAAAUACAAAAAUUAGCCAGGUGUGGUGGCAGGUGCAUGUAAUCCCAGCUACUCGGGAGGCUGGCAGGAGAAUCACUUGAACCUGGAGGCAGAGGUUGCAGUGAGCCGAGAUCGCGCCAUUGCACUCCAGCCUGGGCAACAGAGCAAGACUCCUCUCAAAAACAAAACAAAACAAAAAACCACCACUGAGAAUAGGUAUGUUUUUAGGUAUAAGUAUGUAUAUGAAAAGAAAUACAUGUGGAAGAAACUUCCCUUCAGAAAGGGGAGUAAUUUAAGAGGGCUUUCACUUUCUUUAACCUAUGUAUUUCUGUCUGAAAUUGUAGCUGGACGUGGUGGUGCACACCUGUAGUCCCAGCUACUCAGGAGGCUGAGGUGGGAGGAUCACUUGGGCCCAGGAGUUUGAGGCUGCAGUGAGCUAUGGUGGCACCACUGCACUGAAGCCUGGGAAACAGAGAGAGACCCUGUCCCUAAAAAAUAAAAAAUAAAAAAAUAUAUACUUAUGUAUUGCUUGUGUUAUUGGGCUGAAGAUCUGGGAAACUCUGGCGUCAUCCCUUCGUGAUCCAUUUAUCUACCAACUCACUGAUAAAUAUCCAACACCUGCCAGGUAUCUCACACUUGAAACAGGUAACAUGAUACAUAAUUCUUAAAGUGCAGGGCUACAGAACCCUAAUUCUAAUAGCCUACCAGGUAUUUUUUUCAGUAAAGACCUGCAAGAGAGCAUCUACAAAUUCUCCUCUUUAACCACACAUUUGGAAUCCUUGACUGAAAACUCAUUAGCUUUUUCCAAAGGCAAGCUGUAUUAUAACUAAGCUGGAAAAUUUUCUCUUUAUUCAUCCAAUAGGGUUAUUUUGAAAGACUCCAGCUGGGGCUGGGCACGGUGGCUCACGCCUGUAAUCCCAGCACUUUGGGAGGCCGAGGCAGGUGGAUUACCUGAGGUCAGGAGUUCUAGACCAGCCUGGUCAAC
rnacentral:lncRNA from 1 species